AGGGAAUCCACUGAAGCCUCAAUGAAUCUCUACUCAAAAGAAAAUGAUCAAAGAGUCUCCAGAGAGAACCUUCGACUGGUAAUGAAGCUGCAUGGCAUCUCCAGCUCCUUGUACCUCGUGGCAAACAUCAUCAGAAAGACCAGAGCCAAAGAGACCACCUUGGUGAGAUGACCCAAAGACCAGAACCAGCCCUAGAUGAGAGGGGAAGCCCAAACCAACAACUGCAGAUUUUGAAACAUCAGCCAACCCUCAUAGACAGAGGAACAACCUAUCCCAGGCUUAUUGAACAGAACUUUUUUAAAAAAGAUACUUCUACUAAACAAAAGAUGCUGAAUCAAUGCAAUUUGGAGAUGGCAAUGGCAAGUCCACAGAGAGCCUAACAAGGAAAUGGCACUCCUGGAGGUGUGAACAACUCCUUUCUAUAUCAUCAAGAUGGAGGAUAGAUCAUUCAAGUGUAUUGUCUGGGGAAAUUAAAAAAGCUAAUCACCCCAACAAUGAAAAAUGGCUGAUGCAAGGGACAAGUCAGUCCUCCUUAUUCCUCCAAAUGUCAAAAUAGCAUGGAGUGAGGUCAUGUGAUGCAAUGUUUGACAUGAACAUUUGAAUUUGGAAUAUCAGAGAGAAGUCAGAAAUUACUGGAGUGUGCACCAUUUUGUCUGAAAUGUUUCACAAAGUUUAGAGCCCUGUUUAUAGCUUGAAAAACCAGCCAGAAAGUCUCCUUGCUGCAAACAGAGAAUUUUAAAGGAAGAUUUAACCUCGACAUCAGUCUCCAAGAGAAAUCAGUCUUUCUUGUGGAAAUUGUCGUGUUCAGUUGAAAAAUCAAAUACCUGCACAAUGAGAAAUUCUUUUUGUUUUAAAUUGAUCUUACUUCUGUUAUGCUCAAUAUUCAUUACA